CUCCCUCUCUCUCAGCAAAAGAUUAAGAGAAUGAUCAUUGUUGCUCUUGUAUUUCAAACAGGUCCCCCCUGGACUUUGGACGUCUGAACUCAGGCAUGACAGUGUGGGUUGGAACUAGCUAAAUCUAAGUAAAUUUGGAUUUUGUAGAAUAAUUUGCCCGUAAGUAAAUAGAAUGAAUAAGAAAUCAACAGAGGUGGAGAGGAAUUCUCACGUGACCUAAGCCCUGCCAAGCAUAACUUCUGUGACUUUCCCAGAGCUGUAAGGAUAGAAAUAGCCUAUUACUUGCAAACCAGAAUAGAAGGAAGACUGUAACGAUAAAAUAUUUUUAAGAAGGCAGAAAGAGGAGAACAACCGGAAAUCUCCAUGAGGGUUACAACUUAACCUCGGACUCACAUGGACCACAUGUGUGUGAAAGGCUCGAUGCUUCAGUGGAGAGACUGAACUGUCAGGCAGAAUGCCACAAGCUCACCCGUGAACAGGAACCCGGUUAGAAUGCACAGAUGCAAAUGCCGAAAAUAUCUGUCUAUAUUGAUGGAGAAGAAAAGCAAAAGAAAGUACAUGUGAGGCAUGAUCUUAAGGUUCCACAAAGACAGCUAUAUCUAAUAAAUUCAGCACAGGAAAUCAAUUCAAAACGGGAAUGCAGAGGAAGAUCUGAGUUCCUGUGAUCUACCAGAGAGUGACUGCUCCCAAGAACAAUUUUCAUUUACCUUUGUGCAAGGCCAUAUUUUAAAUAUCUAGCAUGUAUGGCUCCUGAAUAUGAAGCAAUCGAGAAGUAGGGACCAGUUGUCUUCCAAUCAGAUUGCAACGUUGGACACUAGUGGAACUUAGGUAAAAACAUUCCGGAUACCUCAAUCAUAAAAACAGAGCCUGCGUGCUGUUUUCUGGUGUUUUGUGAUGCAAAAAGCUAGAAUAAUAAUGUUGCAGACACUGGGGAAUAUUUUCUAGCUAGUAGAUAGCCCUCUCUCAGCCAUGAAUGUUUUCUUGAACGCUGGGACUCUUCUGUGAUUCUGUCUCUCUGCAGCUUGUAUCUCAUUUGGCUGUUAAGAGCUAGAAUUUGAGCUGUUGGCCUGUAGGUUCCUGUGUUGAACACUUCCUUCCCCAGCCAGAGGCUAUUCUGGGAGGUGGUAGAAACUCUAGGAUGUAGGACCUACUGAAGGAAGUAGGUCACGGGUGUGAAUUUGGAGAGACGUCUCCUUCUACCCUUUUGUGUUAACCUCCUUGCUUCCUGUUACCAUGUUUUCCUGCAUUGACAACUACCACUACCAUACAUCCCAGGAACAAAGACAGAUGACAAUGCACUGAAACCA
rnacentral:sRNA from 1 species